AACAAAUAGCGGUGUCGUGGGUUGCUGUGUGUGGGAGAAAAAGUAUGGAGAUGAGAGAGAAACAAAUUGGAUAAGUGAGGAAGGUGGAUUAGGGUUGGGCGAGUGUUUUGAUUUUUUCAAUUGGAGCUGCAGUAGGGAUGACAAAGAAAAGGUUGAAGUGAGAGAGAUGAAAGAGGAAGGGUUGAGAGGAAUGAGAGAGGUGAGUAAGGGUUUGGAGGGUUUUUUUUUAUUAGUUUUGAGAAUGAAAAUUAUUAAAAUAUCUUUAACCUUAAAACUUAUAAUCCAUGAUAUAUAAGGAUAUUUUUUGUCUACUAAAAUCUGGUACACAUUGCUAAAAUGUAUCAACUGAAAAAACAACGUACGUGUAUUAGCAAACCCAUACACAAAUAUAU
rnacentral:lncRNA from 1 species